CAGGUGACGACGGCUCUCAGAGCUCCAGUCCGACUCACAGAGACCCGGAUCUCAUGACUGAAGCACGAGUGGACAUCAGGAAACUCCAGCAGUUCCUCACGGGACAACAGGUCAAUCCCAGCAGAGCCAUGUGCAACAUUGUUCACCGAAGGAUUCUUCACCUGAUCUUUCUGCAUGAGGACGUCUCUCUUCAGUACUUUAUUCCAGCCGUGGCGUGACAUCAAACGCUCACAUUCUCCAUCUAAACUAAAUCAGGCAUUCGGUUCAUAUGCAGAAUAUCUCAAGUAUUUGAAAUGGUCAGUUGUUGGACUCUUGUUAUAAAAAUAAAAAAAACUUUGUGUUUGCUGGUUCUUAUGUAAUUGUGUAUAUAUAUACACAGAAUAUGAAUAAAAGACUUGUUUGUUAAUA